UGAGGAAUAUUGCGCAAUGGGGGAAACCCUGACGCAGCGACGCCGCGUGAGUGAUGAAGGCCUUCGGGUUGUAAAGCUCUGUCAGAGGGAAAGAAAGGGGAUGCGGAAUAAUACCCGCAGCUAUUGACGGUACCCUCGGAGGAAGCACCGGUUAACUCCGUGCCAGCAGCCGCGGUAAUACGGAGGGUGCAAGUGUCAUUCGGAAUCACUGGGCGUAAAGAGCACGUAGGCGGAUGGGUAAGUCAGAUGUGAAAUCCCGGGGCUCAACGUCGGAGCUGCAUUUGAUACUGACCGUCUUGAGUGUGGUAGAGGGGGAUGGAAUUGCCGGUGUAGAGGUGAAAUUCGUAGAUAUCGGGAGGAACACCAGAGGCGAAGGCGAUCCCCUGGGCCAUUACUGACGCUGAGGUGCGAAAGCGUGGGGAGCAAACAG
rnacentral:rRNA from 1 species